ACGAACGCUGGCGGCACGCUUAACACAUGCAAGUCGAACGAGAGAAGAGAAGCUUGCUUUUCUGAUCUAGUGGCGGACGGGUGAGUAACACGUGAGCAAUCUGCCUUUCAGAGGGGGAUACCGAUUGGAAACGAUCGUUAAUACCGCAUAACAUAAUUGAACCGCAUGAUUUGAUUAUCAAAGAUUUAUCGCUGAAAGAUGAGCUCGCGUCUGAUUAGCUAGUUGGUAAGGUAACGGCUUACCAAGGCGACGAUCAGUAGCCGGACUGAGAGGUUGAUCGGCCACAUUGGGACUGAGACACGGCCCAGACUCCUACGGGAGGCAGCAGUGGGGAAUAUUGCACAAUGGAGGAAACUCUGAUGCAGCGAUGCCGCGUGAGGGAAGAAGGUUUUAGGAUUGUAAACCUCUGUCUUCAGGGACGAAAAAAGACGGUACCUGAGGAGGAAGCUCCGGCUAACUACGUGCCAGCAGCCGCGGUAAUACGUAGGGAGCGAGCGUUGUCCGGAAUUACUGGGUGUAAAGGGAGCGUAGGCGGGAUCGCAAGUCAGAUGUGAAAACUAUUGGCUUAACCCAUAAACUGCAUUUGAAACUGUGGUUCUUGAGUGAAGUAGAGGUAAGCGGAAUUCCUAGUGUAGCGGUGAAAUGCGUAGAUAUUAGGAGGAACAUCAGUGGCGAAGGCGGCUUACUGGGCUUUAACUGACGCUGAGGCUCGAAAGCGUGGGGAGCAAACAGGAUUAGAUACCCUGGUAGUCCACGCCGUAAACGAUGAUUACUAGGUGUGGGGGGACUGACCCCUUCCGUGCCGCAGCAAACGCAAUAAGUAAUCCACCUGGGGAGUACGACCGCAAGGUUGAAACUCAAAGGAAUUGACGGGGGCCCGCACAAGCAGUGGAGUAUGUGGAUUAAUUCGAAGCAACGCGAAGAACCUUACCAGGUCUUGACAUCGUAUGCAUAGCUCAGAGAUGAGUGAAAUCUCUUCGGAGACAUAUAGACAGGUGGUGCAUGGUUGUCGUCAGCUCGUGUCGUGAGAUGUUGGGUUAAGUCCCGCAACGAGCGCAACCCUUACUGUUAGUUGCUACGCAAGAGCACUCUAGCAGGACUGCCGUUGACAAAACGGAGGAAGGUGGGGAUGACGUCAAAUCAUCAUGCCCCUUAUGACCUGGGCCUCACACGUACUACAAUGGCUGUCAACAGAGGGAAGCAAAGCCGCGAGGUGGAGCAAACCCCUAAAAGCAGUCUUAGUUCGGAUUGUAGGCUGCAACCCGCCUACAUGAAGUCGGAAUUGCUAGUAAUCGCAGAUCAGCAUGCUGCGGUGAAUACGUUCCCGGGCCUUGUACACACCGCCCGUCACGCCAUGGGAGUCGGUAACACCCGAAGCCUGUAGUCUAACCGCAAGGAGGACGCAGUCGAAGGUGGGAUUGAUGACUGGGGUG
rnacentral:rRNA from 1 species